AGAGUUUGAUCAUGGCUCAGAUUGAACGCUGGCGGAAUGCUUUACACAUGCAAGUCGAACGGCAGCACGGACUUCGGUCUGGUGGCGAGUGGCGAACGGGUGAGUAAUAUAUCGGAACGUGCCCAGUCGUGGGGGAUAACGUAGUGAAAAUUACGCUAAUACCGCAUACGAUCUAAGGAUGAAAGCGGGGGAUCGCAAGACCUCGCGCGAUUGGAGCGGCCGAUAUCAGAUUAGGUAGUUGGUGAGGUAAAGGCUCACCAAGCCGACGAUCUGUAGCUGGUCUGAGAGGACGACCAGCCACACUGGAACUGAGACACGGUCCAGACUCCUACGGGAGGCAGCAGUGGGGAAUUUUGGACAAUGGACGCAAGUCUGAUCCAGCCAUUCCGCGUGCAGGACGAAGGCCUUCGGGUUGUAAACUGCUUUUGUACAGAACGAAAAGGUCUCUAUUAAUACUAGGGGCUCAUGACGGUACUGUAAGAAUAAGCACCGGCUAACUACGUGCCAGCAGCCGCGGUAAUACGUAGGGUGCAAGCGUUAAUCGGAAUUACUGGGCGUAAAGCGUGCGCAGGCGGUUAUAUAAGACAGAUGUGAAAUCCCCGGGCUCAACCUGGGAACUGCAUUUUGUGACUGUAUAGCUGGAGUGCGGCAGAGGGGAUGGAAUUCCGCGUGUAGCAGUGAAAUGCGUAGAUAUGCGGAGGAACACCGAUGGCGAAGGCAAUCCUCCUGGGCCUGCACUGACGCUCAUGCACGAAAGCGUGGGGAGCAAACAGGAUUAGAUACCC
rnacentral:rRNA from 1 species